AACGAACGCUGGCGGCGCGCCUAAUACAUGCAAGUCGAGCGAGAAGACGUAGCAAUACGUUUGUAAAGCGGCGAACGGGUGAGGAAUACAUGGGUAACCUACCCUCGAGCGGGGAAUAACUAGCCGAAAGGUUAGCUAAUACCGCGUACGCUCCUUGGACUUCGGUUCAGGGAGGAAAGCGAUACCGUGGGUAUCGCGCUCUUGGAUGGGCUCAUGUCCUAUCAGCUUGUUGGUGAGGUAACGGCUCACCAAGGCUUCGACGGGUAGCUGGUCUGAGAGGACGAUCAGCCACACUGGCACUGCGACACGGGCCAGACUCCUACGGGAGGCAGCAGUAAGGAAUAUUGCGCAAUGGGCGAAAGCCUGACGCAGCGACGCCGCGUGGGGGAUGAAGGUCUUCGGAUUGUAAACCCCUUUCGGGAGGGAAGA
rnacentral:rRNA from 1 species